GUCGGAGUGCUACUAUCUGACGAAGAUCUCAGUUGCAACGAUCAAACACCGCUCGCCUUCUUCAAUUCCAAUCAGAGCAGCUAAUCACCGAGCUCUCUAGUGUCGUUGCACUUCUCGUUGUGGUGCUUAGGACCAGUCAGUUAUCAGCGGCAACGGUUCAUAAAGCCGCUACCCUUCGCUAGCUUGGAUUGAUGACUUUUGUGUUUUUUUGUUCGCCAGAUGUCCUGAGUCUUUAUCUGUUAAUCCCGAAGUUUUGUUUCUUUUUGAGUUUGCUUGCAUCUUUUGCGUUUAACUCCGCUAGGUGGAUUUUUCUGGCAUGGUUAAUGAUUAAUUCCUAAAGAGAGUGGGGAUAGAGAAAGGCACGAGGAAAGUUGCUGAUCACGAGGAGAGGGGCAGGGCGUUGUGGGCUAUGGGUGGCUGCUUCUGGAGGUUCGCUCUCGAAUACAUUGGUGGCUUUGGCAACACAUGGUAAAUAGCCUAUCAGUGGUCCUGUCUUAAACGUCGCCAUGGCUGGCAGCUUGGGCAGUGAUUCACCGGGUGGUUCUUACAGAGCAAAACUGCAUCGGCCAAAUGUCAAUUUUCUCUCGAGACCUGUCAAGCAUGGAACAACUGGGACAGUGAUUGUUCUCACUACUCCAGAUGCCAAAUGCACUAUGCUUGCGUUUCAGGCCGCUUCAUCAACUGUUGACCAUGAUCCAUUCUAAGCUGACAUAGUCUCAAAGACAAGUGUACCUGUCAUAGAAGGUUAUUUAUUCGAACUACUUCAUACAGUUGAAACUAUCCAGAAAGCCUGCAAUGAUGCUUGCAGAAAUGGUGCUUAUUGCUGGUACUGCAUCAGUUAUAUCAUGCAUUGAUAGAUGUUAUGAUGAUUUCUGAUAGGCCUUUUGCCUUUAGUUUCUUAUGUAUGUCCCCUUCAAAUUUUAAGUAGCAAAUGCUAUUCUGCAUUCCCUUGGCAUCAAUUGUUUUUGUUGCAAGAUUGCUUGUUAUACACUUCUGAUCUGAAAGUAAAGAACUUGUCUGUUGUUUCUGUU